GAUGAAGAACGCAGCGAAAUGCGAUAAGUAAUGUGAAUUGCAGAAUUCAGUGAAUCAUCGAAUCUUUGAACGCACAUUGCGCCCCUUGGUAUUCCAUGGGGCAUGCCUGUUCGAGCGUCAUUUGUACCUUCAAGCUUUGCUUGGUGUUGGGUGUUUGUCUCGCCUUUGCGUGUAGACUCGCCUUAAAAUAAUUGGCAGCCGGCGUAUUGAUUUCGGAGCGCAGUACAUCUCGCGCUUUGCACUCAUAACGACAGCGUCCAAAAGUACAUUUUACACUCUUGACCUCGGAUCAGGUAGGGAUACCCGCUGAACUUAAGCAUAUCAUAAGCGGAGGA
rnacentral:misc_RNA from 1 species